rnacentral:rRNA from 1 species
UACGUAGGGAGCAAGCGUUGUUCGGAUUUACUGGGCGUAAAGGGCGCGUAGGCGGCGCGGUAAGUCACUUGUGAAAUCUCUGAGCUUAACUCAGAACGGCCAAGUGAUACUGCAGUGCUAGAGUGCAGAAGGGGCAAUCGGAAUUCUUGGUGUAGCGGUGAAAUGCGUAGAUAUUAGGAAGAACACCAGUGGCGAAGGCGGCUCACUGGCCCGGUACUGACGCUGAGGCGCGAAAGCGUGGGGAGCAAACAGG